rnacentral:lncRNA from 1 species
GCUGUGGGAGGUGCCAUGCAUGUGCCUGCAGCCAUGCAGGUCCCUGAGUGUCGCAUGGGGCCUCACGUGCACAGGUUUGCAUUGGUGGGCGUGGAAGUACACGGGGCUGCUUGGGUGCAUAUGCACUUGUAUGCACCCAAAGGAGGUGGGAGACCACCAGCCUUCAGGAACCCCAGAGCCUGGGAAAGGCUGCAGCACCAUGUGGAAGAGGAUCUUGCUGGAGGAGGACAAGGCCCCUGAGCCUUGGUGGGAUGGACCCAUGAGUGCUGAGGGAACUGGCUCCUGUCAUCAAGAGGCCACUCUCAAUAACCUGCAGUUGACUGUGGCAACUGGGAGAGGACUGGAGGGAAGCAAAUGUCACUUCUAUCUUCAGGAAGGGCAUGAAGGAGGACCAAGGGAACUAAAGGCCAGUCAGCCUCACUUCCAUUCCUGGAAAGGUGGUGGAACAGCAAGUCGUGGGAACCACUGCCAGGCACCUGGAGGAGUCAGCACAGCUUCACUGAAGGGAAGUUCUGCUUGACCAACCUGACCACUUUCUAUGAUGGAGUGGCCCUGCAAAUGAAGGGAAAGCAGUGGAUGUUGUCUACCCAGACUUCAGGAAGGCGUUUGAUACCAUCUUCCAUCAGAUCUCCCUAGAGAAGCUGUUGAUGUACAGGCUGGAUGAGCAGAUGUUGAGUUGGAUUGAAAACUGGCUUGGUGGCUGGACACAGAGGGUGGUGGUCAGCAGCACAAGGUCUAGUUGCGGGCCAGUUAAGUAGUAGUGCAAACCCAGGGAUCAGCACUGGGUCCAGUCCUGUUAAACAUCUUCAUUACCAACCUGUAUGAUGGGACAGAAUGCUCCCUCAGCAAGUCUGCAGAUUACACCAGACUGGGAGGAGUGGUUCAUAAACCAGGGGGUCAUGCAUCCAUCCAGAGAGACCUGGACAAGCUGGAGAAAUGGGCUGGCAGGAAACCUUACGAAGUUCAACAAGUGGGAGUGCAAAGUCCUGCCUCUAGGGAGGAACAACCCCAGGCACCAAGACAUCGUGGGGGCCACCUGGUUGGAAACCAGGUCUGCAGAAAAGGCCCUGGAGAGAUUAUGUGGCGGAGACCACACUGACCAUGAGUUCAGUGUGUUCUUGAUGUUGUCAUCAGCUCAAGGGAGGUUGAGGAGGCACUGGUGAAGCCACGCCUGGAGUGCUGGGUCCAGUGCUGGGCUCCCAAGAGAAAGUCCAAGAGACAUGGGUAUACUGGAGGGAGUCCAAAGAAGUCUUCAAAGAUAAUGGACUGGAGUGUUUUUCACAUAACGUGAGGCUGGGAGAGCUGGGACUGUCUGGCCUGGAGCAGAGAAGGUUCAAGGGGGUCUCAUCAAUCUACACAAAUACCUGAAGGCAGGCUGCAAAGAGGAUAGAGGCUGGCUCUUCUCAGUGGUGCCCAGUAGCAGAACCAGAGGCAUUGGCUUCAAACUAGACCACAGGAGAUUCUCUCUGCAUGUCAGGAAACACUUUUUCCCUGUGAGCUGACCAAGCCCUGGCACAGGCUGCCCAGACAAGUUGUACAGUCUCCAUCCCUGCAGAAACUCAACACCCAACUGGACAGUGACCUGGGCAACCAGCCUCGGGUGGGCUUGCUUGAGCAGGGGCUUGGACCCCAACAGCCUCCAAGCUCAAGCAGCCACAGUAUAUGUGUGUGUGUGCGCAGCUGGGCAUGUGUGUAGAGCUUUGGGUGCAUGCACACAUUGCUGCAUGUGUGACUGCAUGUGCUGGUGUGUGUUUCUGCCUCUUUGCAGCUCUGUGUGCAAUUGCAUCUGUGCACUGGUGUGUGGACUGCAUGUAGCUGUAUGUAGCUGUGCAUGCAGCUGUGCAUGUGUGCUCACAGCUGUGUGUGCAGGGGGUUGCAAGUGUGCACAGCUGUGUGCAUGUGUGCAUACACAGCCAGCCAUGCACACACACCCCCUUGUUCUGCACAUCGUGUGUGUCUGCAAUGUCUGCAUGUGCAUACUGUGUUUGCACUGUGUGUGUUGGGGUGCAGUCUGUGUGUGCAUCCACAGUUUUUGGUGUGCAUGUUUGUGGUGUGCAAUGUGCACGUGUGCACAUGGGUGUGCGGUUGCAGUGUGCACAUCCAAGUUUGUGAUGCGGGUGUGUUUGUGGUGUUGGGGUGUGUGCAGGGGGUGUGAGUGUGCGCAGUGUGGGUGUUUAGGGGUGUUUAGGAGGUGUCCGGGCGUAUUCAGGGGGUGAUGAGCGUUUCCACGUGCUCACGGUGUGUGUACGUGUGUACACGUGGCUGUCCACGCUGCGCAUGUGUGGUGUGCGUUUGCUGUGCGCGUGCAGCGUGUGUCGUACUCGUGCUGAGGCUGCUCGACGUGCGCGUGCUCGAGCCCGUCGGGGCGGGAUCCCCCGUGCGCGCCGUGGCCGUGACGUGGCGUUGCGGGAUGCUGCGGGCGCUGCCGCUGCUGCUGCUGGUGUCGGUGCUGGCGGCAGGGCUCGGCCCAGGACCCCCCCGGCACCGCGGGGCUGAGCUGCGGGACCUGGCCCGGGGCAAGGUGGAGGUGAGCACGGGGCUGGGCGGAGGGUGCGGGAACACCGCGGGACGCCGGCGGCGGUGACGGGGUGUCUCGUCCCGCAGACCUGCGGCGGGUGACGGCUGAACCGCCUGAGGGAGGUGAAGGCGUUCGUCACCCAGGACAUUCCCCUCUACCAUAACCUAGAGAUGAAGCAUCUGCCUGGUGCUGACCCUGAGCUUGUGCUCCUCAGCCACCGAUACGAGGAGCUGGAGAGAAUCCCCCUAAGCGACAUGACCCGGGAGGAGAUCAAUCAGCUGGUGCAGGAGCUGGGUUUCUACCGCAAGGAGACGCCUGAUGCCCCUGUGCCCGAGGAGUUCCAGUUUGCACCUGCCAGGCCUCUGCCCCCACUGCCACCUCCCCAAACUCCCACUGCUGAUGGCCACACCCCAGCCAAACACAACGAGGGAGAACACCCAGACCUCUAAUGAGGGGUGCUGCAGCCAGGAGAAGGUCCUGCAGCCAGUCCCUGGUGUGCAGGGAUAAGGACAUCACAGCAGCUGGGGAUGGUGCUGCGGAGUGGCAGAGGUGCUCCUGUUGUUGCUUGGUGCUGUGUAGCCUCUGUCCCAAGGAUGCCCUGAGCUGCCCCAGCCUUUAUCAGGGGUUUCAUGGGCAUUGUGGCCCUCUCAGGGGUGUGCAACAAGCACACAGGACUUGUUGCACACACCUUCCCCUGCAGCCCAGCAUUCCCAGACGGUCAGAUGUUCUUUGUGCUCCCUCUCAGUGCCCUGAGAUUUAGCUGACGCCUGGCGUUGGGCAGCGAUAUCCUACCUGCGUGGGACAGGAUGAAACCCUCAGCAGAAAGCCUCACGUGCUGAGGGUUGAUGUGUUGAGUCCUGGAGGUGGGAAAGCUGCCCCCAGAGGGGUUAUGGCUUUAUGCCCCAGCAGGAUUGUCUCAUAUCAAGCCCCCAGUAAAGCCCUUGCAUACU